rnacentral:lncRNA from 1 species
ACAUGAAAACAUGUUUUUCAUGAAGUAAGCAAAUCAGUGGUUUCUUUUUUUCACUGACCCCUAUUUGCAGGGGCCAAGUCAUUUCAUUUUAUUAAGAAAGAGCCACUCCACACAUUGCUCUUAUGUUAAGCACUCACUACCUGCAAAUCCUCAACUGUUGAAAAGAAAUAUCUUCGAGCCUGGAUUUGCUCCUUGGGUGAGUGCCAGUUUCUUUCGAAAGUAUCUCAAGGUGAAUGUGUGUUCAAGACCUGGACUGUAGCUUUAGAGAAUUCUGUUGUUCUUUUUGGAGUUUUAUUAUUACAUUUUCCUAUGUCAAUAAUCUAUAUAUAAUCAUUUCAAUUUUAUUUUGGUCUCCCAAAGGAGAUGUUAUUUAAAACAGCAGUUCUGUAUUAUGCUCUAUUCGUAUCCUUUUAACCUGGCACAUUAUUGGUCAUAUCAGAGUGACUAAAACUAUUUAAGAUUUGACUGUUUCUAUACCAGGUAAAAUAAAUCUAAUAUUACUUUCUGAAGCCCCUUAUUUAUCUUCUAUAGUUUCCAUGUAAUGAGUUAGUUAUAUCUUUAUUAUAGGAAUGCCAUUGCAUUCUGAGUUUAGUAGGUGAAAAUCUCAUUGCAUUGUGAUUUUGUUUGUACCUUGAUUCACUCGUAUCUUGACACUGACUUAAAGUCGUCUUCCCAGUGUACAUUCAGCUGAACUAGCACUGCAAGCGCAGCAGACCAUUGCAGCUAAGAGCAAAAGUGCACAGCGUGACAAAUUGCAGAUACUUGCUAUAGCUAGAUUAUUAGACUCCUUAUCUAAAUUGUUUACAUGUC